AUUGCUAAAAUAACAACAAUUGUAAGUGGUAAUUAUCAAAUUUUCCUUAUUUCAAUUCAGUAAGUGAAUGAAUCAAAUAAUUUGAUUAAUUUCGAUUUGAAUGAAUCCUAAUACAGAGCAACUCCUGGAAUUUAAACAAGCCGUUCUUCAGUUUAACUUUUCGGGAUCCUACCUCGCUUUUUCUCAAAAAAAAAAAAAAAAAAUGAAAAAAAAAAAAAAAGAAAUCACUAUUCGGAAAAUCCUUUGGUGGGUAAUCACAUUUUGCGGAAGAAUUGAGAGCAAAGAAUUCGGCGCAUAGUCAAAGAUUUCCUGAAAAUUGAACUCAAUUACUCACUGCGCUAGAUUGAUGUGAUAAUUCAAGAAGAAGCCUUAAGUGCAUUUCACGAGGUUUUGUCACCUUUAAGGCUUUAAUGUAUGAUGUCUACUCAGGUUAACAAUGUGUUUUGCUGCUUUUUCUCAAUGGCAUAUGUAAUUAAUAGACACAUUGUAAAGGGGCUUCACCCUUUACCCCCUGUUCUGUAGCACCUGUCCAUUGUCCUCUAAAGUUUCAAGUUCCCUUGAAGAUCUUAACCAAUUCAGUGUUAUACAGAGUAUGUCAGGCUUGUUUGUCUGGCGGGGAAACUAGAGCUGGGAACGGAAAUCAGGUAAAAAUAUAAGUUGCUCUAUUGUAAAUGUGUGCUUGUUAAUAGAUUUGAUUUUAUAUGGCUUGUUUGGUUUAAGUAAUUCAUGUAGUGAAAUUGAUGAUAACAAGUCUGCUUUAUUUGUUGGGUUUUACUUUAUUUUAAAUCAAGAGCCACUUCUAUUGAAUAAGUUAAAAGAGUAUUCAGUUUGUUAUAUUGAAACUUGAAAGGUUAUGUUUCGUGAUUUUUUACUCAUGGAGAACUUUGUGACAGAAUAUAAAUAUAGGUUAUCAAAUGAUUGAAGUUAAAUUACAAAGCUGUUUAUGGGGUGCUUCUUGUCAGCUGUUCCUCUGCAAGUUGCAAAUUUUUAAUUUUGUUCCUAGUUUUACUUUGAACUGAAUAGACCAACUCAUUAAUGGAGGGAAGAUAGGUUAAUUUUGAGGGCUGAGAGAUUGAAAAUUGUUGAUCCCUAUAGAAAUAUUCCUUUUAUGCUCUCAUUUCAGAUUUUGCUAGAACGAAGAAUUUUUUCUUUUUAGAGUGGAUUUGAGCUCUUACUAUCUCCAUCUCUCUGUCUUGCCUAAACUGAUAGUUCUGGUAUAAUUUAUAAGGUAGCUUGGUACUUUUUAAUGGAAUUUUAAAGUAAUGACAGGGAGGGCUGUUUUGGAUAUAUUCAAUCUAAUUUAUCUUCACUCAAAGUCAUGAAAACUGGUUUGGUCUUUUUACCUUAAAAAAAUUCGUACAAAGUUAAGUUUAGGUAAGAGCCACCAAGUUCAUUCUCAAAGUUUGGUAUUAUCCCGAGUCAUUUGUUAUGGGGUCAGAUUUGGGGUCGUUAUCUAGUUACACUUGGUAUGUGAAUUCCUGGAACACAAACCCAGAAGAUUGUUUCGUCAAGGGAGAGUUCAAAUUUGGAAUUGGUGGUUGGGAACUUUAAUUGAUCCUAUUUACCAUUGCUGGAACUCUCAACUCAUCUGUCAAUUAUUUCUCUAAUUUGAUCAAGCAAGGGUGUUGAGCAUUCCCUUGAGUAAUAGAAUGCCUGAAGAUUUAUUAUGCUGGAAUCUUGAGAAAAAUGCAGUGUAUUCUGCAUGUUCAUCGAAUAGGCCUACUUUUGAUGAUUCUUGGAAGGGAAAUGAGGAUGCUGCAUAGAAAUGGAAGAAUUGUGGGAGAUGGUCUGGCAAAUUAUGGUGCUUAUUAGAGUUAUCUUUCCUUGAGGCACUCAACUCGGAGGGCAUUUAAAUUUUUUGAACUAUCAUUUUUUUACUUAAUUUGUGGGGACUGGGAAGUAUCCUUCAUGGACAUGGAGAAUUUUGUGACAUUGAUUGGGCAGUAUAGGGAGCUCAAAACAAGUAUGUAAUUUAGAAUGAAAUUGUUGAGCCAGAAAAAGCUUUGAGAUAUACUUUGAAGUUGGAUGGGCAGAUGUGUGGGAGGCGUCAAAGAAGAAAACUAGCAUCAGAGGCAAAUUUCCAAUUGCUGCUGGGUGGUUGAAGAUGGAUUUCAACACUGACAAACUGGGAAAAAGUGGGCUCAGGUGUGGAAACCAAGUGUGGAAACCAAGUGUGGCAGAACCCAAAAGCGGAAUUUGGGGUUUGGGGAUUGAAGGUGGUGGUGGAGUUGGGUUUGAGUUGGUCAGUGGUUGAUAGUGAUGGUCUUAUGGCCAAUCAAUCUCUUCAAAGGUAUGCAAAAAGCAGUACCUUCCUCUUGGUUGUAGAUGAUAAUAUUGGUUUAAUUUCUUGAUUUGAUCGUCUAGUCUGGUCCUAAAUGUAGAGGAAUAAAGCUGCCUCUGAAUUGGGCACAUUUUCAACCUUGUGAAGCUGGCUAAAAGAUAAUGAGAGGCAAAUUACCGAAUUGAAUUUUGGAUAUGGUUCUUGUUCCGAUUCAUAAAUACUCCAUAUAAUUCUUAUUUGAUGGGAUUUCUCAAAAAAAAAUUGUGUUCCGUGUAAAUCCAAGUUAUUUAUGAUCAGUUCAGAUAUAAGGGUUUCAUGUACAAAGAAUAAAUUCCAAUUGUCGAACUAACUAUUUUGAGUGGAUACUAUAAAGAACACGAUAGAGUAUUUUGUAUAAUGGACCUUGUCGAUUGUAUUCAACUGAUGAUCAACUGAAAUUUAUACGUUCUCUGACUGUUGAGCAACUGUGAGCUCUGUCCAGGAAUCUAUUUGGGAAUUUUUUGGAAAAGCCAUUGAAAAUUUAGGAAAUAAAUCUUCAGUGGAGGAUUUAUUGAAACAGCAGAUUGAGAAACGGGAAUAUUAUGAUGAGGGUGGAAAGCCUCCAGCCUCCAGGAGGUAGAAGUGGUGGUAGCGGUGAAGGUAGGAAUUGGUUUUGGUGAUGUCAGUGGAUCUAAGGAAGAAGUUUCUCUAGAAUAUUAGAUGAGACUGUACAAGUUAUCUUAGCAACAUUUGUUUUAAUCUUUGGUAAAAGAAUCUUCUGAAUUCUGUUACAUGAUUUGCUAGAUUGAGUAGAUUACCAGUAUCAAACAUGUACGUAGUAUUUUUAUAUUUUCUAUUGACAUUUGUUGUAAUUUAUUUUCUGAUUUUCUCACAAUUAAUGAUAGACAUUGGAUUUAUUUUUUCA